rnacentral:rRNA from 1 species
UCUAUUGAGAAUUUGAUCCUGGUUCAGGAUGAACGCUGGCGGCGUGGAUAAGGCAUGCAAGUCGUGCGGACGCAGCAGCCAGCUUCUUGCUUCUAGCUACUUGCUCGUUUAGGAUAUUCUAUAUGGCAUUUCGUUUCAGAAAAUUUAGAGUAUACCACGAUGCGAUUGAGUUCCAUCGCUUUGUGGUUAAGCUUACGAAGAAAUUUCCCACUGAUUUUGAUUAUCUCAGAAAACAAAUUCGGAGAGCCUCGCUUUCUGUGAUUUUGAAUAUCGCAGAGGGGUCUGCAAAAAACUCCGAUAAAGAUUUCAGGAGAUAUAUUGGAAAUUCAUUAGGAUCCAUAAACGAAGCAUUAGCGGGUUGCGAAGUCGCGCUUUUAGAAAAUUUAAUUUCGACAGAGGAAUUUUCUCUUAUAGAGAAAAAGGCCGAAUAUAUUACUAAUCAGUUGGGUAGUUUGUCGAAAAAACUUAAAUUAAGCUAGAAGCUGGCGGCAAGAAGCUGGUAGCUGCGUUAGCGGCGAACGAGUUAGUAUUACCUUGGAAUCUACCUUGAAGACGGGAAUAAUCCGCCGAAAGGCGGACUAAUACCCGAUAGUCUCGUGCUUCACUUUUGUGAAGCACGCGCGGAAUGUCGCAGACAUGACGCUGACAGUCGCAGAAAUUUCUGCGUUGUUCUGCGUAUAGUCUGCGUUGUCUGCGCGUGCCUUGCAGUAGCGAGGCACGAGUAAAGGCGCAAGCCGUUUCAAGAGGAGCCUCGGUCCUAUCAGCUAGUUGGUGAGGUAACGGCUCACCAAGGCUAUGACGGGUAGGGGGGGUGAGAGCCUGAUCCCCAACGACGAAACUGAGAUACGGUUCGUACACCUACGGGUGGCUGCAGUCGAGAAUAUUCGACAAUGGGCGAAAGCCUGAUCGAGCGACGCCGCGUGCAGGAAGAAGGCCCUCGGGUCGUAAACUGCUUUUACGGGGGAGGAACGCAAGUGACUGUACCCCGAGAAUAAGGCGCAGCAAACUUCGUGCCAGCAGCUGCGGUAAUACGAAGGCGCCGAGCGUUAUCCGGAUUUAUUGGGCGUAAAGGGUCUCCAGGCGGUUUUGUUAGUCCGAUGUUAAAUCCUUCUGCUCAACGGAAGGGAUGCAUUGGAAACGGCAAAACUUGAGACAGGGAGAGGUAAGCGGAACUCACGGUGUAGGGGUGAAAUCCGUUGAUAUCGUGGGGAACACCGAAGGCGAAGGCAGCUUACUGGUCCUGUUCUGACGCUCAUGGGACGAAAGCGUGGGGAGCGAAUAGGAUUGACACUCGCGUUUUUGCUGUGAAAUUUUUCAGCUU